rnacentral:rRNA from 1 species
AAGCGUGCCGCCGAAGCCGCGGACUCCUCCGUGAGGAGGGGUGGUAGGGGAGCGUCCUGCGUUGGGUGAAGCCCGGGAGUGAUCCUAGGGUGGACGGCGUGGGAGUGAGAAUGCAGGCAUGAGUAGCGAUGACUAGGGUGAGAGUCCCUAGCGCCGAAUGACCAAGGGUUCCAGGGCCAGGUGGAUCCGCCCUGGGUGAGUCGGGACCUAAGACGAGGCCGACAGGCGUAGUCGAUGGAUGACGGGUUGAUAUUCCCGUACCGGCGUAGGACCGCCCAUGCUGACGCGCGGGUGCUAACUCACGCCCGUGGUCGUUGAUUCGCUGGUGGCCGGUACCUUCGGGUCCGGGUGCUGGUGUCGACCAGGGUCUGGGGAUCCUCCGUGCAGGUAGGCAAGCGUAGUAACAGGGGUGACGCACAGUGGUAGCCUCGCGGGCCUAAUGGCUUGGCCCGUUCAAGCGCGCAGCCUCUCGCUCAGGUAAAUCCGGGCGAUCGCGUUAAUGACAUGGUUGUUGACGCGGGGGUGAGGCGUGAUGGUGACCCCGUUGUGAGCGGGGGAGAGCAGGGUGAUCCUGGGGUGCCGAGAAAAGCCUCGACGCGAUGGUGCUGGGCCGCCCGUACCCGAAACCGACACAGGUGGUCGGGCAGAGCAUGCCUAGGCGAACGAGUGAAUCAUGGUUAAGGAACUCGGCAAAAUGCCCCCGUAACUUCGGGAGAAGGGGGGCCUGAGCUUUGAAGCCCCUUCGCGGGCUAGGAGCAAGGGUCGCAGAGAACAGGGGGGAGCGACUGUUUACUAAAAACACAGGUCCGUGCGAAGCCGUAAGGCGAUGUAUACGGACUGACGCCUGCCCGGUGCUGGAAGGUUAAGAGGAACCAUCAACCCUCGGGUGAAGUGGUGAAUUUAAGCCCCAGUAAACGGCGGUGGUAACUAUAACCAUCCUAAGGUAGCGAAAUUCCUUGUCGGGUAAGUUCCGACCUGCACGAAUGGAGUAACGACUUGGGUACUGUCUCCACCACGAACUCGGUGAAAUUGCAUUACGAGUAAAGAUGCUCGUUACGCGCAGCAGGACGGAAAGACCCCGGGACCUUUACUACAGUUUGGUAUUGGUGAUCGGUGCGACUUGUGUAGGAUAGGUGGGAGACUGUGAAGCGGCCACGCCAGUGGCCGUGGAGUCGUCGUUGAAAUACCACUCUGGUCGUUCUGGUUAUCUAACCUCGGACCGUGACCCGGUCCAGGGACAGUGCCUGAUGGGUAGUUUGACUGGGGCGGUCGCCUCCCAAAGAGUAACGGAGGCGCCCAAAGGUCCCCUCAGCCUGGUCGGCAACCAGGUGUCGAGUGCAAGUGCACAAGGGGGCUUGACUGUGAGACGGACACGUCGAGCAGGGACGAAAGUCGGGACUAGUGAUCUUCUGGUGGCGUGUGGAAGCGCCAGAACUCAACGGAUAAAAGGUACCCCGGGGAUAACAGGCUGAUCUUGCCCGAGCGCUCACAGCGACGGCAUGGUUUGGCACCUCGAUGUCGGCUCGUCGCAUCCUGGGGCUGGAGUCGGUCCCAAGGGUUGGGCUGUUCGCCCAUUAAAGCGGCACGCGAGCUGGGUUAAGAACGUCGUGAGACAGUUCGGUCCCUAUCCGCUGCGCGCGUAGGAAUCUUGAGAAGGGCUGUCCUCAGUACGAGAGGACCGGGACGGACCAACCUCUGGUGUGCCAGUUGUUCCUCCAGGAGCAUGGCUGGUUGGCUACGUUGGGAAGUGAUAACCGCUGAAAGCAUCUAAGUGGGAAGCACGCUUCAAGAUGAGGAUUCCCCAGCCUCGUGCUGGUAAGGCCCCCGGCAGACCACCGGGUUGAUGGGUCGGACGUGGAAGCGCCGCGAGGCGUGGAGCUGACCGAUCCCAAACGGCCGAGAGGCUUGCCA